rnacentral:tRNA from 1 species
GGGCGAGUGGUGAAAUGGCAAACACGCUAGCUUCAGGAGCUAGUGGAGGCAACUCCUUGCGGGUUCAAAUCCCGCCUCGCCCA